rnacentral:rRNA from 1 species
AGCGAACGCUGGCGGCAGGCCUAACACAUGCAAGUCGAGCGCCCCGCAAGGGGAGCGGCAGACGGGUGAGUAACACGUGGGAACGUACCCUUCGGUUCGGAAUAGCCCGGGGAAACUCGGAGUAAUACCGAAUACGUCCGUAAGGAGAAAGAUUUAUCGCCGAAGGAUCGGCCCGCGUCUGAUUAGCUUGUUGGUGAGGUAACGGCUCACCAAGGCUACGAUCAGUAGCUGGUCUGAGAGGAUGAUCAGCCACACUGGGACUGAGACACGGCCCAGACUCCUACGGGAGGCAGCAGUGGGGAAUAUUGGACAAUGGGCGCAAGCCUGAUCCAGCCAUGCCGCGUGAGUGAUGAAGGCCCUAGGGUUGUAAAGCUCUUUCGGCGGGAAGAUAAUGACGGUACCCGCAGAAGAAGCCCCGG